AUGGCCGAAUGCUUCAAUAGGGUGCUCAAAGGUGCACGUGGAUUACCCGUGACGGCAAUAGUUCAAUACACAUUUGACAAGAUGAAUGCGUACUUUCUAAAGUACUCGAUGGAAACGGAUGCACAGAUAGCGGGUGAGAACCCGCGCAAGUACAAGUAUAAGUUCCCACCCAAGGUUGAUGAAUGGUUACAAUUUCAAUCACAGAAGGCGGACUCAGAAGAAGCUAUAUUAUAUGACAACGAAGAGUGGAAGUAUGAAGUGAAAGAGCCAGGAGGAACCACAAACUAUGGCCGCCAACAUGGAGGUCGCGCUUUCAAGGUGUCGUUAACACAAUGUGAUUGCUCUUACGGGAGGCCAUUGUUGCUUCAUCUCCCAUGCUCACACUUGUAUACCGAUGGUCGCGUUAGGAAUGUGGACAUCAAUCACCCACGCACCAUGAGGGAGUCGGAGUUCUCAAUCAUGACGGUCAAGAAAACAUGGGCUCCCUGCUUUCACCCAUAUUUUGACCAACCACAAUGGCCGGAGUACCAUGGUGUUCAACUAUGGCCGGAUCCG
rnacentral:rRNA from 1 species